rnacentral:rRNA from 1 species
GCCUUGCAAGUCAGUUGUGAAAGCCUUCCGCUUAACGGAAGAACGGCAUCUGAUACUACAGGGCUUGAGUACGGGAGGGGAGAGUGGAACUUCUGGUGGAGCGGUGAAAUGCGUAGAUAUCAGAAGGAACGCCGGCGGCGAAAGCGACUCUCUGGUCCGAAACUGACGCUGAGUGUGCGAAAGCUAGGGGAGCAAACGGGAUUAGAUACCCCGGUAGUCCUAGCCGUAAACGAUGGGCACUAAGUAGAGGGGUUUUGAUUAUUUCUCUGCCGGAGCUAACGCAUUAAGUGCCCCGCCUGGGGAGUACGGCCGCAAGGCUAAAACUCAAAAGAAUUGACGGGGGCUCGCACAAGCGGUGGAGCAUGUGGCUUAAUUCGAUGCAACGCGAAGAACCUUACCGGGGCUUGACAUGGUAGAAGUAGAAUCCUGAAAGGGUGACGAUCGGUAUCCAGUCCGAAGCUAUCACAGGUGUUGCAUGGCUGUCGUCAGCUCGUGUCGUGAGACGUUGGGUUAAGUCCCCUAACGAGCGAAACCCUUGUCUUUAGUUGCUAACGGGUAAUGCUGAGCACUUUAGAGAGACUGCCGUCGUUAAGACGGAGGAAGGUGGGGACGACGUCAAGUCAUCAUGGCCCUUAUGUCCCGGGCUGCACACGUGCUACAAUGGUCGGUACAAAGGGAUGCUAAGUCGCGAGAUGGUGCGAAACCUAUAAAGCCGAUCUCAGUUCAGAUUGGAGGCUGAAACUCGCCUCCAUGAAGUUGGAAUCGCUAGUAAUCGCGGAUCAGCUACGCCGCGGUGAAUAUGUUCCCGAGCCUUGUAC